rnacentral:misc_RNA from 1 species
AACGCACAUUGCGCCCACCAGCAUUCUGGUGGGCAUGCCUGUUCGAGCGUCAUUUACCAUCCCUCGAGUGCUGCCAUGUGGGCUCGGUGUUGGGGAUCCUCCGGCGGGGGCCUUUUUCGCCCCCUCCGUAGGCCCUCAAGGUCAGUGGCGGGCUCGCCAGCACUCCGGGCGUAGUAGCUUUUUAAUACGCCGCCUAGGGGGGCCGUCUGGCGGGCGACCGGCCGUAAAAAACGCGACUCUGCCGGGUCGCAUACCCAAGGUUGACCUCGGAUCAGGUAGGAAUACCCGCUGAACUUAA